rnacentral:rRNA from 1 species
UACGAAGGGGGCUAGCGUUGUUCGGAAUUACUGGGCGUAAAGGGCGCGUAGGCGGUGUGUCAAGUCAGGCGUGAAAGCCCCGGGCUCAACCUGGGAACCGCGCUUGAGACUGGCACGCUCGAGUUCGGGAGAGGAUGGUGGAACUCCCAGUGUAGAGGUGAAAUUCGUAGAUAUUGGGAAGAACACCGAUGGCGAAGGCAGCCAUCUGGACCGACACUGACGCUGAGGCGCGAAAGCGUGGGGAGCAAACAGG